AAGUCGUAACAAGGUUUCCGUAGGUGAACCUGCGGAAGGAUCAUUAACACGUAUCCACGUAUCUACCUCUUGUGAACCUGUUAUGUGUGUAGUUAGUUGUACCAGGUAUAACUGAGGAAGCAGAUGACCAUGUCCCUUCUUUCAUGACCUUUCCACUUCGUGUGGCAGUAAUUGAUAUGAAGCGUUCUGCUUGCCUGUCCGCCCUUGCUUGAGUGCUAGUGUAUUGAGAUUGACCCAGGGAUUGUCCAACAAUUUCUGAGGCCAAUCCUAUUAGCCAUAGCUCCUUGGGACCGGGUAUCUGGUAGAGCUCGAAUCAUGGUGGUAUUUCACCUAUUAACCCUUCGUCUAUUUAUUUGUCUUAAGUGAGGUGUUAUACCUCCCAAAAAAAAUAACAACUAUACAACUCUUAGCAACGGAUAUCUCGGUUCU
rnacentral:misc_RNA from 1 species